UACGGAGGGUGCAAGCGUUAUCCGGAAUCACUGGGUUUAAAGGGUGCGUAGGCGGUUCGAUAAGUCAGAGGUGAAAGCUAGCAGCUUAACUGUUAAAUUGCCUUUGAUACUGUUGGACUUGAAUCAGGUUGAGGUAGGCGGAAUGUGACAUGGAGCGGUGAAAUGCAUAGAUCUGUCAUAGAACACCAAUUGCGUAGGCAGCUUGCUGGGCUUGAAUUGACGCUGAGGCACGAAAGCGUGGGGAUCAAACAGG
rnacentral:rRNA from 1 species